rnacentral:pre_miRNA from 1 species
AAAUCAUCCCCUAAGUUUUGCAACUGUGGCAAUUUUGACCCCAAGGCCAAUUUUUGGUAAAAAGAAAUAAAAAAAUUAACACGUAGCACCUCACUUAGGGUGCCGCGUUAGCGUAGACCGAGUCAAAAUUGGCCUUGGGGGCCAAAACUGCCAUAGAUGUAAAAUUUAGGGGGCGAUUU